rnacentral:rRNA from 1 species
UGGGGAAUAUUGCACAAUGGAGGGAACUCUGAUGCAGCGACGCCGCGUGAACGAAGAAGGCUUUCGAGUCGUAAAGUUCUUUUAUAUGGGAAGAUAAUGACGGUACCAUAGGAAAAAGCCCCGCCUAACUACGUGCCAGCAGCCGCGCUAAUACGUAGGGGGCGCGCGCUGUCCGGAAUAUCUGGGCGUAAAGGGUUCGCAGGCGGAAAUGCAAGUCAGGUGUAAAAGGCUGUAGCUAAGUACUGUAAGCAUUUGAAACUGCAUAUCUUGAGAGGAGUAGAGGUAAGUGGAAUUUUUAGUGUAGCGGUGAAAUGCGUAGAGAGUAAAAAGAACACCGGUGGCGAAGGCGACUUACUGGGCUCAUUCUGACGCUGAGGAACGAAAGCGUGGGUAGCAAACAGG